AGUGAGGAAUAUUGGUCAAUGGACGCAAGUCUGAACCAGCCAUGCCGCGUGAAGGAUGAAGGCGUUCUGCGUUGUAAACUUCUUUUAUCUGGGAAGAAACCACCGAUUUCUAUUGGUGUUGACGGUACCAGAGGAAUAAGCACCGGCUAACUCCGUGCCAGCAGCCGCGGUAAUACGGAGGGUGCAAGCGUUAUCCGGAUUUACUGGGUUUAAAGGGUGUGUAGGCGGGCAUUUAAGUCUGGGGUGAAAUCUCCGAGCUCAACUCGGAAACUGCCCUGGAUACUAUUUGUCUUGAAUUAUGUUGAGGUUGGCGGAAUAUAACAUGUAGCGGUGAAAUGCAUAGAUAUGUUAUAGAACACCGAUUGCGAAGGCAGCUAACUAAGCAUAUAUUGACGCUGAGGCACGAAAGCGUGGGGAUCAAA
rnacentral:rRNA from 1 species